rnacentral:rRNA from 1 species
UACAGAGGUCUCAAGCGUUGUUCGGAUUCAUUGGGCGUAAAGGGUGCGUAGGCGGCGCGGUAAGUCGGGUGUGAAAUCUCGGGGCUUAACUCCGAAACUGCAUUCGAUACUGCCGUGCUUGAGGACUGGAGAGGAGACUGGAAUUUACGGUGUAGUGGUGAAAUGCGUAGAUAUCGUAAGGAAGACCAGUGGCGAAGGCGGGUCUCUGGACAGUUCCUGACGCUGAAGCACGAAGGCCAGGGGAGCAAACGGG